UUUAAUCAAAAUGUAGUUGAGUGUUGAAGGGUUGUUCUGCGAUUGUGUUCCAAGUUCCAAGUUCCCGAUGGCAUUCAUCCUGCCACUGCACAAAGGACUCGCAGCGCAGGAACAGCCAACCAUCCAACCAUCCAGCCAAUGGCAAAAGUUCCGAAGAUAUGGCACAUGGUGUGGCUACACAAUGGCAGCCGGAAACGCUCACCAAUACAAGCACAUCGAGCACUUCCAGCAUAGUUUCAUAAUUGCGAACGGCAAUGGCGCCGAAUUGGAAGGCCGCCGCAUCCUGGCCACUUGGCAUUGCAACGCCCCCUUGGCCCGAAAGCACACACUCGCGUUCACACAAGUAGGGAAGGGGUUUUAAAUCAGAGUUGGUAGCUAGUAAAAAUCCACAUAGUUAGUUAGUUUAUUAUAUCUAAUGAUUCACUGCAACCAACAUGAUUCCCCUUUUUAUCUAGACCCUAUGUUUAAGUUGCUUUGGUUUUAAAAUAUUUAUAAAUUGAAGAAGAGUCUACACUUGUGACCCCAUCUGUG
rnacentral:sRNA from 1 species